rnacentral:rRNA from 1 species
AACGAACGCUGGCGGCGCGCUUAACACAUGCAAGUCGAACGAGAAGCUGUAGCAAUACAGUUGUACAGUGGCGAACGGGUGAGGAAUACAUGGGUAACCUACCCUCGAGUGGGGAAUAACCAGCCGAAAGGCUGGCUAAUACCGCGUACGCUUCCCAGUCUGCGGGUUGGGAAGGAAAGCUCUACCGUGGGUAGAGCGCUCAAGGACGGGCUCAUGUCCUAUCAGCUUGUUGGUAGGGAACGGCCUACCAAGGCAACGACGGGUAGCUGGUCUGAGAGGACGAUCAGCCACACUGGCACUGCGACACGGGCCAGACUCCUACGGGAGGCAGCAGUGAGGAAUAUUGCGCAAUGGGCGACAGCCUGACGCAGCGACGCCGCGUGGGGGAUGAAGGUCUUCGGAUUGUAAACCCCUUUCGGGAGGGAAGAUGGGACGAGCAAUCGUUCGGACGGUACCUCCAGAAGCAGCCACGGCUAACUUCGUCGCCAGCCGCCGCCGUAAU